CGGGACACGUGGUAUCCUGUCUGAAUAUGGGGGGACCAUCCUCCAAGGCUAAAUACUCCUGACUGACCGAUAGUGAACCAGUACCGUGAGGGAAAGGCGAAAAGAACCCCGGCGAGGGGAGUGAAAAAGAACCUGAAACCGUGUACGUACAAGCAGUGGGAGCACGCUUAGGCGUGUGACUGCGUACCUUUUGUAUAAUGGGUCAGCGACUUAUAUUCUGUAGCAAGGUUAACCGAAUAGGGGAGCCGAAGGGAAACCGAGUCUUAACUGGGCGUUAAGUUGCAGGGUAUAGACCCGAAACCCGGUGAUCUAGCCAUGGGCAGGUUGAAGGUUGGGUAACACUAACUGGAGGACCGAACCGACUAAUGUUGAAAAAUUAGCGGAUGACUUGUGGCUGGGGGUGAAAGGCCAAUCAAACCGGGAGAUAGCUGGUUCUCCCCGAAAGCUAUUUAGGUAGCGCCUCGUGAAUUCAUCUCCGGGGGUAGAGCACUGUUUCGGCAAGGGGGUCAUCCCGACUUACCAACCCGAUGCAAACUGCGAAUACCGGAGAAUGUUAUCACGGGAGACACACGGCGGGUGCUAACGUCCGUCGUGAAGAGGGAAACAACCCAGACCGCCAGCUAAGGUCCCAAAGUCAUGGUUAAGUGGGAAACGAUGUGGGAAGGCCCAGACAGCCAGGAUGUUGGCUUAGAAGCAGCCAUCAUUUAAAGAAAGCGUAAUAGCUCACUGGUCGAGUCGGCCUGCGCGGAAGAUGUAACGGGGCUAAACCAUGCACCGAAGCUGCGGCAGCGACGCUGAUGCGUUGUUGGGUAGGGGAGCGUUCUGUAAGCCUGCGAAGGUGUGCUGUGAGGCAUGCUGGAGGUAUCAGAAGUGCGAAUGCUGACAUAAGUAACGAUAAAG
rnacentral:rRNA from 1 species